rnacentral:lncRNA from 1 species
UUCGUAAACUCCACAUCCCUGGGUAUAAUAGCUCUACUUUAACUGUAGAAAACCACUCUUAUUAUCUUGAAAGACAAUAAUAACAAAGAGCUUUUUUUCCAGAUUAAAAAAUUUGGUUUUCUUUUUUGAUUACCUUUUACAUAGUGUUUAAAUAAAAAUGAAAUUAUUUUGUCUAAUUUCCCAGAAUAAUUUAUUUAAACUAUAUUCAUUUAACAAGUUAGUCAUGUUUUUUUCUGCCAAAAACACAAAUCCGACUGCCAAUUUAUAUUUGUAGUGAAACUGUAUUUUAUUUUUUUUAUUUAUUUUUUUUGAGAUGGAGUCUUGCUC